rnacentral:rRNA from 1 species
ACAGUGAAGAGUUUGAUCCUGGCUCAGGAUGAACGCUAGCGACAGGCUUAACACAUGCAAGUCGAGGGGCAUCGCGGGUAGCAAUA